rnacentral:rRNA from 1 species
AAAAUCACGCUGUUAUCCCUAAGGUAAUUUAUUCUUAUAAUCAAAAUAAUUGGAUCAAUUAAUCGUAAAUUAAAGUAAUAAAAAUUAAAAGUUAAUUAAAUUUUAAAGUCACCCCAACCCAAUAAUAGCACCUAUAAAAUAAAAUAUUCUUUUCUAUAUUUAUAAAACUAAUAUUAAACUCUAUAGGGUCUUCUCGUCUUAUAAAAAUAUUUAAGCUUUUUAACUCAAAAAUAAAGUUCUCCACAAAUAAAAUAAACAAAGUAACUUUCUCAUCCAACCAUUCAUACAAGUUUCUAAUCAAGAAACUAAUGAUUACGCUACCUUCGUACAGUUAAAAUACCGCAGCCAUUAAAAUAAUCAUUGGGCAGGUUAAACCUUUCAAAAUUAACAAAAAGGCCAUGUUUUU